UCGACAAGCCUGUUUUUUUUGUUAUCGGGUCUACUGGGAGUGGCAAGUCAAGGGUGGCGAUUUACCUUGCUCAAGAAUUGAGGCGAGUUCACAACUACAAAGAUGUUGUCAUUAUCAACUGUGAUGUUUAUCAAUGCUACACUGAUCUUCCAAUUUUGACUAACAAGCCCUCAGCGACGGAUCUUGGCGGAGUGACCCACCUUUGCUUAGGGCUCCUCAGCAGCGACGGAUCUGUUAUAUGUGACAACAACGGUGGCUCCGUGGAACAACGCGAGUUCUGCCACGAGGCGCAGAUACAGUUGACAGGCAAUGCCUCUUUCAAUGUUCACUCGUACGAACGCAUAGUGACGUCCUUUAUAAAUGGUUUCUUCCAGCGACACGCAGAUGGAGCUGUAAUCAUUUGUGGUGGGACCUGCUACUACGCUCAAGCUCUACUCUUCGCUGACUCGCUAGUAUACGAUCGUGAACAACACGCUCUAUGCUCUUAUACUGAUUCAGACGCAGAGGACGGCUUGUGGGAACGCCUGAACGCGGUUGAUGCGGAGGUAGCGCUGCGAUAUCACCCCAAUGAUCGCCGUCGAAUCAAGCGGCUACUUGAGAUCUAUGAUUCCACGGGGCAAGCACCAUCAGCCAUCUUCGAUUCCCAGGCAUCAAAGCUGCGAUUUGAUAGCAACGCGCUCUUUAUUGUGUGGGUCCGAAUGGAGCGUGAGGUUUUGGACGACUUUCUGAACAGGCGCGUUGACUUGAUGCUUCAGCGCGGGAUGUUGGGCGAGGUCAAAGCAUUUUGGCUGAAAAACGGUAGGAAGCUCCCGCAUAAUAGUCUCUCCGGGGCGAUUGGAUGCAAAGAGUUUUCCCAGUUCUUUACUAGCGAUAAUCCGUCACUAAUCUCGAGCAGCGAUUGUGAGAACGCAGUCGCACAAAUCAAGUCGAAUACUCGCCGGUACGCCCGACAGCAGGAGCGAUGGAUUCAAAACCGCCUUCUUCCACUUUUGCACUCUUCUUCCUUGAAAGAGGCACCGACUCACUUUGUGCAGCUAUGGGUACAGGAGGGCGUGGACGCUCUGCCUUCUGUUCAAAGGACUUUGGAUACUUUUUUAGGGACAUCCCCGGUGCAGCCUCUCGCAGAAUCGCUGUUUCCAUUAAAGCAGCAGCUGGCUUCUCGCGAGCCAGUUUCACAAAAGGAGUGCAAAAUAUGCAAGAUUCUGGUCUACGGUCGCGGUCAGAUGGUGAUACAUCUCAAGUCGAAGCGUCACCGAGGUUCUCUAAGACGUUUGGCACUGGAAAAGGAGCACAGAGAGAAGUACGGGCGCGAGCUGCCACCCCCAAAGAGGAAGCGGAACAGUUGAGGCUUUCUAUGGCCAUGCCAGGAUCGGGUGUGAAGCAGUCAUACCAGGCACUGCUAUGCAUCGAAGACAAAACCAAGUAGCUAGGCGGCAAAUAAAAAAAAAUGGCAGCUAGAUAGCAGAGGGCAGUGGCUUGCUCUCUCGUUUUCAUACCAGCAGCAUUGCAGCCGCAGUGGCUGUGCAUGCUGCCUUGAAAGCGAUCAGGGCUGGAGCGAUUGAACGUUUUUCAGCCCUCGAAAAUGAGCCUGCCGUUGUGGCAAGGUGCACGAGUCACACAUCCGUAGUUUCACUUCACAUUGCAUUCACUUUUCCCUUUUUUUUCUUGGCACCUGCUUGCGUUCGUUUCCCUGAGAUUCUCUCAG
rnacentral:misc_RNA from 1 species